AGCGGAGGAAAAGAAACUAACAAGGAUUCCCCAUUAGUAACGGCGAGCGAACCGGGAAUAGCCCAACGUGUAAAUCUCCCUCGGAGAAUUGUAGUCUAUAGAAGCAACUUCUGCAACGGCCGGACCUCAAGUCCCCUGGAAGGGGGCGUCAGAGAGGGUGAGAACCCCGUCGGGUCUUGGUGCGGUUGCCUCACGAAGUGCUCUCCAAGAGUCGGGUUGUUUGGGAAUGCAGCCCAAAUUUGGUGGUAAAUCCCAUCUAAGGCUAAAUAUUGGCGAGAGACCGAUAGCGAACAAGUACCGUGAGGGAAAGAUGAAAAGAACUUUGAAAAGAGAGUUAAAAAGUGCUUGAAAUUGUUGAGGGGGAAGCGAUUGGCAGCUGUGUGUGCACCUAGGCUUACGUCGCCUUAACGGGCGGCUGCAUGUGCUAGGUGCUGGUCAGCAUGGGUUAGCCUGGCAGGAUAAACGCAGGGGUUGUUACUCUGUCUAUACUGCCGGGUUGACCGAGGUGUGAAGGCCGCUCUUGUCCCUCGGGAUCUGCGGCCUCAAGAUGCUGGCGGAAGGCUUUCAAUCGGCCCGUCUUGAAACACGGACCAAGGAGUCUAACAUGUAUGCGAGCUGGUGGGUGGCAAACCCAUGAGGCGCAAGUAACCUGACUGGUGGGAUGGCGUAAGCCUGCACCAUCGACCGACCAUGAUCUUCUGUGAAAGGUUCGAGUACGAGCAUACCUGUUGGGACCCGAAAGAUGGUGAACUAUGCCUGAGCAGGGCGAAGCCAGAGGAAACUCUGGUGGAGGCUCGUAGAUGUGCUGACGUGCAAAUCGCUUUGUGCGGACKUAGGGUAUAGGGGCGAAAGACUAAUCGAACCUUCUAGUA
rnacentral:rRNA from 1 species